rnacentral:rRNA from 1 species
GAUGAACGCUGGCGGCGUGCCUAAUACAUGCAAGUCGAGCGAACGGACGAGAAGCUUGCUUCUCUGAUGUUAGCGGCGGACGGGUGAGUAACACGUGGAUAACCUACCUAUAAGACUGGGAUAACUUCGGGAAACCGGAGCUAAUACCGGAUAACAUUUUGAACCGCAUGGUUCAAAAGUGAAAGACGGUCUUGCUGUCACUUAUAGAUGGAUCCGCGCUGCAUUAGCUAGUUGGUAAGGUAACGGCUUACCAAGGCAACGAUGCAUAGCCGACCUGAGAGGGUGAUCGGCCACACUGGAACUGAGACACGGUCCAGACUCCUACGGGAGGCAGCAGUAGGGAAUCUUCCGCAAUGGGCGAAAGCCUGACGGAGCAACGCCGCGUGAGUGAUGAAGGUAUUCGGAUCGUAAAACUCUGUUAUUAGGGAAGAACAUAUGUGUAAGUAACUGUGCACAUCUUGACGGUACCUAAUCAGAAAGCCACGGCUAACUACGUG